rnacentral:rRNA from 1 species
UACGUAGGUGGCAAGCGUUGUCCGGAUUUACUGGGCGUAAAGGGCGUGCAGGGCGGUCUGUUAAGUCUAGGGUGAAAGCUCCCGGCUCAACUGGGAGAGGUCCUUGGAUACUGGCGGACUUGAGGGGAUGCAGAGGAAAGUGGAAUUCCCGGUGUAGUGGUGAUAUGCGUAGAUAUCGGGAGGAACACCAGUGGCGAAGGCGGCCGACUGGGCCGACCCUGACGCUGAGGCGCGAAGGCGUGGGAGCGAACGGG